AAACGAACGCUGGCGGCGUGCCUAACACAUGCAAGUCGUGCGAGAAAGUUCCUUCGGGAGCGAGUAAAGCGGCGCACGGGUGAGUAACACGUAGGUAACCUGCCCCCCAGUCUGGAACAACUAGAGGAAACUCUAGCUAAUGCCGGAUGAGACCACGAUCCCUUCGGGGGUUGCGGCCAAAAGGAUGGCCUCUACUUGUAAGCUAUCGCUGAGGGAUGGGCCUGCGGGCCAUUAGCUUGUUGGUGAGGUAACGGCUCACCAAGGCUGUGAUGGCUAGCUGGUUCUGAGAGGAUGACCAGCCACACUGGGACUGAGACA
rnacentral:rRNA from 1 species